GACGAACCGAGCGAACGUUGUUCGGAAUCACUGGGCUUAAAGGGCGCGUAGGCGGGUGUUCAAGUCCGUGGUGAAAUCCUCCGGCUCAACCGGAGAACUGCCUCGGAUACUGGAUGUCUCGAGGGUGGCAGGGGUAUGCGGAACUAUCGGUGGAGCGGUGAAAUGCGUUGAUAUCGAUAGGAACUCCGGUGGCGAAGGCGGCAUACUGGUCCACUUCUGACGCUGAGGCGCGAAAGCCAGGGGAGCAAACGGG
rnacentral:rRNA from 1 species